rnacentral:rRNA from 1 species
UAACCUGCCGAAAGGCAGACUAAUACCGCAUAGUCUUCGAUGACGGCAUCAGAUUUGAAGUAAAGAUUUAUCGGUAAUGGAUGGGGAUGCGUCUGAUUAGUUAGUUGGCGGGGUAACGGCCCACCAAGGCAACGAUCAGUAGGGGUUCAGAGAGGAAGGUCCCCCACAUUGGAACUGAGACACGGUCCAA